UAAGUGGAUAAUACUCUUACUAGUCUUACCAUCUGAUCCACAAGUCAUGCAUGUAGCUGUUUAACCAACUGAUGGGAAACAUACCCACACAAACAUCUGCACACAAAUGUUGCAGCAGCUUUAUUUAUAAUCACCAAAACAACCAAAAUGUCUGUGAAUAGAUGAAUGGAUAAACAAAUUGUGAUACAUUAACAGAAUGGAAUGUUGUACAACGAUAACAAGAAAUGAGCUACCAAGCCGCAAAAAACAUGGAUGCUAGGUGAAAUAAGACAGUCUGAAAAAGCUGUAUACUCUACUAUUCCCAUUAUAUGGCAUUCUGAAGAAAGUGAAAUUAUGGAAGGACUAAAAAGAUCAGAGAUUGCCAGAGGAUUGGGGGAGGGUGGAAGGGUUGAACAUGGAAUUUUUAGGACAGGGAAACUAUUCUGAAUGAUAUGAUAAUAGUGGAGAUAUGACAUGCAUUUACCAAAGCCCAUAAACCUUUAUAGCACAAAGAGUGAGUCUUAAUAUAUGCAUAAAAAUUAAUUCAUUUAGAGAGGAGGUUCCUGGAUGGAAUGCAGGAUGUGACAAAACAAUCUAACUAUUACAAAUGUGUGAAACCACCUAAUGGAAUGGGUUUUGGGGAAGGAUUCUGACCUAACCUUGGAAAUGAGUCUGUAAGAUGAAAGGCAAAAGUAUCUGUGUAUAAGCACCAUGUUCCAGUUGAUAGUUAUUUGUCAUAGCAGUAUGGGUUAACAAUUCUGACACUGCUAGAAUAUGUAAAAUUGAACAAUUAAAUACAUGGAUUGCAGAUGGUGAGAACCAGGUUUCACUGUUAGCCUAUGAGGUUAUAAAUAGCAAGAAGAGGACGUUAAAAUGAUCCAUGGAGUAAAGGAUUAGAGUUGGAGAUGUCAGUAUAAACUCCUGUUUAGCUUAAUAUAGAUACAGAUGAUUAUAUAUUUAGGUAGUGAACAUACACAGGCUAGUAAAUACACUUUUUACAUUGUUCAUCAGUUGAAGAGGCAUAAAAGCAAUGGCAUCCCAGUAGCAAAGACCACAUAUGACGCUCAGAUUACUGGUUUCUAAUACCUUUCUCCAAAAAGGAACUAGGGCUCUUCAGAGAAUGGCUGAUUCUAAAACUGUAGCAGAAAAUAUGUAAGAUUAGCCUGGAGCAUCUUGUAGCACCAAAAAAGUAAAGUGUAAGUGUUAAAAAGGGCCAUCUGGGUGGCUCAGUCAGUUAAGUAGCUUGGGUUUGGAUCAUGAUCCCAGAGGGUCCUGGGAUAGAGCCCUGAGUUGGGUUCCCUACUCAGUGGGAAGUCUGCUUCUCCCUCUCCCUCUGACCUUCCCCCCUGUUUGUGCUUAUGUUAUCUUUCUUUCUCAAAUGAAUAAAUAAAAAAAAUUUCUUUUGGUAAAUUUAUUUUUUAUUGGUGUUCAAUUUGCCAACAUCUAGAAUAUCACCCAGUGCUUAAAAAAUCUUUAAAAAAAAAAACAAACAAAAAACAAGCACUGCAAUGAGAGGAAUAUGUCAAAAGAAUGAAGGAGCCAAUUAAAAGAUCUGAUGGCUAAAGCUGGAACCCUUUGAACAACAAAAUAAACAUUGGAUUAUAACCCAAAGUAUAAAGUAAUCCAUGAGUCCAUGCUGAUAAAUGAUUGAAUACAUAAAUGGGGAAGAAGAGACCAUUUCUCAUACAGAAUACUAAGUAAUUUACAUAGAUACUCUGGACUUAAGAUAUUCUACCUUUAAGCAUGGGUUGCACAUAGCGAUUUCCUUCCAAAGUUUAUAAUAUGGAAAGGCAGGUGGGAAGAGCAACCUUAUAGAGACAAACACUAUCUCGGGCAGGUGAUCAUGGUCAAAGUCAACAGUGAUAAGUCAUUUAUUAUUAUGGACUCUGGAUAGGAUACCAUGAAAAUAAUACUUCACUUCUUUGGUCUUCUUUACAAAUAAUCUGGCAAAUCCCAACUGAGGAACAUUCUACAAAAUAGCUGACCAGAAUUCUUCAAAACUAUUAAGGUCAUUACAGACAAAAAUCUGAAAAACUGACAGCCAAGAGGAGCCUGAGAAGACAGAACUCCUAGAUGUAAUGUGGUGUCCCGGAUUGGAUUGUAAAACAGAAAUAGAGUAGUAGCUAAAAACAAAAGAAUUCUGAAUAAAAUACAGGCUUUAUGAAUGAUUGUAAAUGAUUAUCAGUAUUGAUUUGGUAAUUGUAACAGAUGUACCAUACACACAUAAUAUGGGGAAACUGGGUAUGGGUUAUUUGGGAAAUCUGUACCAUAUUCUUAAUUUCUCUGUAAAUCUAAAACUGUACCCAAAAAAUAAAGUUUAUUUUAAAAA
rnacentral:lncRNA from 1 species